UACGGAGGAUGAUCAUGGUACACAACAUCCUUACUUCAUAAUCACCUAUCUGAAUGGUGCACAACAUCAAUGCUUUGUUAAUGCUGAGUCCCUUGAUUUAUUUUAUGUGCGGAAGGUAAGGCUCCGUUGUCUUAACAAGGAUGGAAAAUAUAAAACAUAAACAAACCAACGUGGAAAACCAAGAUCUGGUAAAUUGUUUAUGUCAUUUAUGUUGUCUCUAACAUUUGUUAUAAUGCAUAAAAUCCUAGUAUGAGCUAAAUUGCUAAACCUUCAAGGCUGCUCAUUGGAGUGAGGACAUGGUCGGACAUUCACCCUAUCAUCCAUCGACUCAUUGUUGCUGAUAUCAUAGAAAAAUGGGACCUGGAAGAUACACCAGAAACAGAAGAAAAAUUUCUCAAAAUUGCGGAAGAGCGAUAUAGAGGUUGACGAUCAAGUCUAAGCUCCACUUAUAAGGCAUACAAAACAAGUGCAGCUAGAUGGCUAAUCUGCUGGAAGCUUUACAACCAGAAGAGUGGGAAUGGAUGAUUGAGUACUUUGGCACUCAUUCAAAGUUUCAGGAAAGCAACCAAAAGAACACCGAUUGUCGCAAGUAACAGAAGACAAAACACAUAAUUGGAUCAAAUCUUACUCGCAACUAAGUUUGAGAAGAGAAACUUGGAAACUGGAGAAGAGCCCGAUUGUAUUGCUCUGUGGGAACUCACCCACACGAAGCAUGGAACAUGGUCUAAUACAGAGUCCCGGAAUGUUUACGUGAGUACACUGACUUUUGGUUAUUCUAUAGUUAUUCAACUAUGUGCAUUCAGCAUGCUUCUACAUCAGCUGAGAUUAUUCAUGCGUUAGAUCGUGUUAUUCUUGUUUCACCUUUUAUAGUGUCAAUAUUGCUGCCGCACCUAUAGUUGUCAUUUCUGUUUUUAGGACAAAUCAAGUCUAAGAUGUUGAAAACAAAGAAAUUGAAACUCAUGGUCGACUUUUAAGUUUGAAGUAUGCAUGUCAUUGGCCUUCAUAAUUAGCUAGCUGCUUCUUCUCUUUCACCAUGCAUUGUUGCUGCAUCGAAUCACAACUUAAAAAAAUGAAUAUGUGCGAGCUAGGGACAUGAACUUAACUGAAACUAGAGAUCGAGCCACAACUUAAGUCAAUAGUGGAAGAUUUUAGUACAUGUACUUGUGCUUAUGCUUUAGACAUUUAUCCUUCUAAAACUGUUCUGAUCCCUUAGUUACAUGCUUGCUGACAUAGUAUUACUCAAGUUAGUCCGGUGAUAGUUCUUUUUAACAAUGGGGCUGGAAUAAUUGUAUGGUGUACGUUAUGUUGGACUCAUUAGAUAGAACUAUUUUUUUUAUUUUUUGACUGCGGGAUCCAAAGAACUAGCUCGACUGAACUCCAGAUCACGGAUAGUUUAGUCUUGGCACUUAAUUAGGAUGGCUAAAUUACAUUUGAGUUUCAUUUGAUGGAUAUUUGCUAUGGGAAUUAUGAAUUUUAUGAAUCUACAUAUCAUACGUAUGAUUUUGAAUAUUGUAAUUGAAUGCCUGUAUUAUUAUUUUUAGGUUGCAAUAGGCUAUUGCCACAACCCACUUUUGGUUGCCACAUCUUAGCACCACGAAAAUUUAAAUUGUCACAAUAGUUUCUCGCUACAAACAUUUCACCCAUUGUGAUGCCUAUUUAUCACCACCAAAACUAGUAUGUUACAAUUUCCUGUUACGACGACUGGAAAUUUGUUGCCAUAACUUAAUGCCACGAGUGCAACGGUUCGUGGCAAAAUGCCUAAUGCCACAAAAACAAGGAUCGUUGCCAUAGUUUAUUGCCACAAUUGACUAUUACCACGGAACAGUAUCCACCACGAAACGAGCAUCGCGGGCAUAAGUUGUUGCCACAAAUGUCUAUCGGCACAAGUUAUCAGUCGCCAUGAUUUGUUACAUGUUGCAUUAAAGCUAUCUCCACAAAGCAAAUUGUGGCAUCAGAUGAGUGUUGCCAUGGGAAAACAUGUGGCGACUUCUCACAUGGUUGUUGCAAUAGCACACUUUAUUGCCACAAUUGCUUUUCUGUGGCAAUAACCUAUUACCAUGUGUCCAGUCGCAACGGCUGCCAACGAAUGUUGUUUCGUGGCAAUAGGUACUUAUCGCCACAAAUCGGCUUGUAUUGCGACGAACAUUUUUGUUGCAAUAGACCCGGAUCCUUGUAGUGACAUUAAGUAAGAUGACAUGAUGUAGAGGGAUAAACUCAAGCAAUA